GAUGAAGAACGCAGCGAAAUGCGAUAAGUAAUGUGAAUUGCAGAAUUCCGUGAAUCAUCGAAUCUUUGAACGCACAUUGCGCCCUCUGGUAUUCCGGGGGGCAUGCCUGUCCGAGCGUCAUUUGCAACCCUCAAGCCCGGCUUGUGUGAUGGGUGCCGUCCCCUACGGGACGCGCCCCGAAGGCAAUGGCGGCGUCGCGGUUAUCCGAUCAGCCAAAGUGUAUGGGGCUUUGUCACUCACUUUACGGCCCGGACCGGCGCCAGUCCGAAUCAAUCUUUUUUCUAAAGUUGACCUCGGAUCAGGUAGGGAUACCCGCUGAACUUAAGCAUAUCAUAAGCGGAGGA
rnacentral:misc_RNA from 1 species